rnacentral:rRNA from 1 species
CCAUGCAAGUCGAACGAAGCAUUUGCGACAGAUUUCUUCGGAUUGAAGUUGCUUAUGACUGAGUGGCGGACGGGUGAGUAACGCGUGGGUAACCUGCCUCACACAGGGGGAUAGCAGUUGGAAACGGCUGAUAAUACCGCAUAAGCGCACAGUACCGCAUGGUACAGUGUGAAAAACUCCGGUGGUGUGAGAUGGACCCGCGUCUGAUUAGCUAGUUGGCGGGGUAACGGCCCACCAAGGCAACGAUCAGUAGCCGACCUGAGAGGGUGACCGGCCACAUUGGGACUGAGACACGGCCCAGACUCCUACGGGAGGCAGCAGUGGGGAAUAUUGCACAAUGGAGGAAACUCUGAUGCAGCGACGCCGCGUGAGUGAAGAAGUAAUUCGUUAUGUAAAGCUCUAUCAGCAGGGAAGAUAGUGACGGUACCUGACUAAGAAGCUCCGGCUAAAUACGUGCCAGCAGCCGCGGUAAUACGUAUGGAGCAAGCGUUAUCCGGAUUUACUGGGUGUAAAGGGAGUGUAGGUGGCAUCACAAGUCAGAAGUGAAAGCCCGGGGCUCAACCCCGGGACUGCUUUUGAAACUGUGGAGCUGGAGUGCAGGAGAGGCAAGUGGAAUUCCUAGUGUAGCGGUGAAAUGCGUAGAUAUUAGGAGGAACACCA